rnacentral:tRNA from 3 species
CGCCGGUAUAGCUCAGCUGGUAGAGCAACUGACUUGUAAUCAGUAGGUCCCGGGUUCGACUCCUGGUGCCGGCACC